GCAGUCCCAGAAUAUUAGUCAAUGCUCGAAAGAGUGAACUAGCUAACUGAAAUCAAUAAUAAAAAAUUGAUAACAUAAGGGAAAAUAAUGAUAUUACCUUAUUAUUAGUGUCGUCCAAAACUCGGUGCCAGAAGACUCGGUAAGGCCAGAGACAUAAACGUUAAUCGUCUUAAUCAGGCGUAAAGGGUUUGUAGGCGGCUUUAAAAUUUACUAAAAAAUAAAUAAAAUAAUAAGUAAAGAAUAAAAGCUAGAAUCAAAUAGAGGAUAUAUGAAAGAAUGCUUAGAGUAGGUCUGAUAUCCUUAGAUACUAAGUAGAAUAUUAAAGGCGAAAGCUUUUUUCCAUUAAUGAUUGACGCUCAGAAACGAAGGUGAGGAUAGGAAAUAGGAUUAGAUACCCAGAAUACCCCUCUCUGUCAACGAUGAAUGGUAGUUAUUAGUAAAAAUUUAUUAAUGGCAAUGUUAACACGAUAACCAUUCCGCCUUGUGAGUACAACUGCAAAGUUGAAAACAAAAAAAUUAGUCGGUUUCGGAGCAAACGAAGUGAAGCAUGUUAUUUAAUUCGAUAAAUUCCGCAA
rnacentral:rRNA from 1 species